rnacentral:rRNA from 1 species
UACGUAGGAGGCGAGCGUUGUCCGGAGUACUGGGCGUAAAGCGCACGCAGGCGGUCCAAUUAGUCUGUAGGGACAGGGUACAGCUUAACUGUAUCAGGCUUACGGAAACUGUUGGACUUGAGGGCUUCAGAGGGAUGGGGAAUUCCGGGUGGAGUGGUGAAAUGCGUAGAGAUCCGGAAGAACACCAAAGGCGAAGGCACCAUCCUGGGGAGUCACUGACGCUCGGGUGCGAAAGCUAGGGGAGC